AAUCACCGAUUCCUGUACGAUCACCGAAGUUAAGGAAUUUCGAACCUGGUUAGUACCUAGAUGGGUAACCGCUUGAGAAUACCAGGUGCUGUAAG